rnacentral:rRNA from 1 species
CCUACGGGGGGCAGCAGUGGGGAAUAUUGGACAAUGGGGGCAACCCUGAUCCAGCCAUGCCGCGUGUGUGAAGAAGGCCCUCGGGUUGUAAAGCACUUUCAGUGAGGAAGAACGCCUGGUGGUUAAUACCCAUCAGGAAAGACAUCACUCACAGAAGAAGCACCGGCUAACUCCGUGCCAGCAGCCGCGGUAAUACGGAGGGUGCGAGCGUUAAUCGGAAUUACUGGGCGUAAAGCGCGCGUAGGUGGCUUGAUAAGCCGGUUGUGAAAGCCCCGGGCUCAACCUGGGAACGGCAUCCGGAACUGGCAAGCUAGAGUGCAGGAGAGGAAGGUAGAAUUCCCGGUGUAGCGGUGAAAUGCGUAGAGAUCGGGAGGAAUACCAGUGGCGAAGGCGGCCUUCUGGACUGACACUGACACUGAGGUGCGAAAGCGUGGGUAGCAAACAGGAUUAGAUACCCUUGUAGUC